UACGAGGGGGCGAGCGUUGUUCGGAAUUAUUGGGCGUAAAGGGUGCGUAGGCGGUUUGGUAAGUCUGAUGUGAAAUCUAUGGGCUCAACUCAUAGUCUGCAUCGGAAACUGCCGGGCUUGAGUGUGGGAGAGGUGAGUGGAAUUCCUGGUGUAGCGGUGAAAUGCGUAGAUAUCAGGAGGAACACCUGUGGCGAAAGCGGCUCACUGGACCAUAACUGACGCUGAGGCGCGAAAGCUAGGGGAGCAAACAGG
rnacentral:rRNA from 1 species